UACGUAGGGUGCGAGCGUUAAUCGGAAUUACUGGGCGUAAAGCGUGCGCAGGCGGUAAUGCAAGACAGAUGUGAAAUCCCCGGGCUUAACCUGGGAACUGCAUUUGUGACUGCAUUGCUGGAGUGCGGCAGAGGGGGAUGGAAUUCCGCGUGUAGCAGUGAAAUGCGUAGAUAUGCGGAGGAACACCGAUGGCGAAGGCAAUCCCCUGGGCCUGCACUGACGCUCAGGCACGAAAGCGUGGGGAGCAAACAGG
rnacentral:rRNA from 1 species